rnacentral:rRNA from 1 species
AUGUGUGGCAUGAAAAGUGAGUACACAAAAGUGUUUGACUACCAACUAGAACUGCUAAGGAGCAACCCUGGCAGUACUGUGGCCAUUACAUUAGAUCCCACAGAGCUGUAGAAGAACAUUUUUCAACAGUUUUAUGUUUGUUUUGAUGCUAUGAAGAAAGGUUUUAAAGCAGGGUGUAGGAAAGUCAUAGGACUGGAUGGCUGCUUUUUCAAAGGAGCUUGUCAAGGUGAAUUGUUGGCUGCAAUUGCAAGGGAUGCAAAUAAUUAGAUGUGCCCAAUGGCUUGGGCUGUGGUGGAGAAAGAAACCAAUGAUACCUGGAAGUGGUUUAUUGCUCUGUUAAUCAAAGACUUGGAUAUUAAUGACCAAGGAGCAGGUUGGGUUUUCAUUUCUGAUCAGCAGAAGGGCUAGAUUAACAGCAUGAGUGACUAUUUGCCCAAGGCAGAGCACAGAAUGUGUGCCAGGCAUAUCUAUGCCAACUGGAGGAAGAAAUACAAGGACCAUGAGUACCAAAAGAGAUUUUGGGCAAUUGCUAAAGCUGCAAACAAAGAAGAUUUUAACUACAACAAGGCAAGGCUAGCUUAGCUAACUCCUGAUGGUGCAAAGGAUAUCAUGAGGACAGAACCAGUUCAUUGGGCUAGGGAAUUUUUUCCUACAGGAGCUAACUGUGAAUCUGUGGACAAUAAUCUUUGUGAGUCAUUUGACAAUGCCAUCAUAGAAUCAAGGUUCUACCCAAUUAUUUCACAGCAAGAAAUGAUAAGAAAGAAGAUGCUUGUUAGGGUGCAAGAGCAGAGAGCCAAAUCAGCAACAUGGAAGGGCAAAAUUUGCCCAAAUGUUUUCAAGAAGCUAAAGGUGAGUAUUAGAUUGACACAAUACAUUGAGGUACUCUGGAAUGGCAAGGAGGGAUUUGAUGUGCAGCACAUGAAGCGGAGAAAUAAGAAGUACACAGUAAAUCUUGAAAAGAGGGUAUGCACUUGUGGAUACUUUCAGCUGGCAGGCCACCCUUGCUGUCAUGCUAUUGCAACUAUUUACAAGAGUGGUAGAAAGGUAGAUGACUACAUAGACAAGUGCUACUGGAUUGAGACAUUCAAUAAGAUUUAUGAGCAUUGUCUCCAGCCUGUUCUAGGAGAAGAAAACUGGCCUAUGUCUCAAAACCCUAGGCCAGUUGCACCUGGAUACAUUGCCAUGCCAGGAGCAAGGAAGAAGAACAAUGACAGAAGAAGGGAAUAG